ACUCAAAGGAAUAGACGGGGGCCCGCACAAGCGGUGGAGCAUGUGGUUUAAUUCGACGCAACGCGAAGAACCUUACCUGGGCUCGAAAUGCUUACGACCAUCUUUGGAAACAGAGACUUCCCGCAAGGGACGUGAGUAUAGGUGCUGCAUGGCUGUCGUCAGCUCGUGUCGUGAGAUGUUGGGUUAAGUCCCGCAACGAGCGCAACCCUUGUCCUGUGUUGCCAUCAUUAAGUUGGGAACUCGCAGGAGACCGCCAGGGAUAACCUGGAGGAAGGUGGGGAUGACGUCAAGUCCUCAUGGCCUUUAUGUCCAGGGCUACACACGUGCUACAAUGGACGGUACAAAGCGCUGCCAACCCGCGAGGGGGAGCCAAUCGCAAAAAACCGUUCUCAGUUCGGAUUGCAGGCUGCAACUCGCCUGCAUGAAGCUGGAAUCGCUAGUAAUGGCAGAUCAGAACGCUGCCGUGAAUACGUUCCCGGGCCUUGUACACACCGCCCGU
rnacentral:rRNA from 1 species